CCUGUCGUGGGUCCCACCAGGGAAUGAUUGGGCAGAGGCGCCAAGGUGAAAGUAUUCUUGACUUUAAUGCAAGAAUAGAGCACACCAAUUGCUCCACAAAGGUUAACCAACAUAGACUUCUCCAAUCCAACACUCCAAAUUCUCCUCUCAGACUCUCCAACUUCUCCACUCAGACUCCCACCCUGACAGCUGUAUCUGGUUCUCUUUUAAGUGGUAAGCCCCUCCUCCUGGGCGUUGCUCUCCAUCAGUCCAAAGAGAAAAUAGGGACAAGUGUUUACAUUGUUCAAGAACAUAAACAUACAGGAAUAAACAGUUUCAUUCAACUAAACAUUCUGUGUCGUGUACAGAAAAAUAACAAUAAUCAUCAAUAAAAAUAAAUACAAACAGUGACCGAUGCGUCACAUGACCCAGGGUGUCCAUGACCACUUCCGGGUUACCGGGUUACUUCCGGGUAAAAAAAACCAACGUUAAUGUUGGCGUCGUGUGUGCUUCGUGUUAAUGUAUGCAUGGGGAUGGUGAGUCGGCAACCUAGUGUGCACCCAGGGCUACCUGCAGAGGGAUAGGGACGGAAUGAAAAGGGUAAGCUGAUGUAAAUGACGUGUUACCGGGUCCGAGCGUGCGCGUCUAUGCGCACGUGUGUAUGUGUGCGAGCGUGUGUGCAUGCGUGUGCGCCUGCAGCGGCAGCUGACGGUUCUACACCGUCACAUCAUCCCCCUCCUCUGGGAGAUUGGCGAUGUGCGGCAAUCUGGACAGGAAAUCUGCCACUAUGUUUUGUUUUCCGGGACGGUGACGUACGUUAAAUUUGUACGGCUGAAGCGCCAGAUACCAGCGCGUAAGCCGGUUGUGGUGGUCCUUCAUGGUAUUUAUCCAUGUCAGGGCCCUGUGGUCUGUCUCAAGGUCGAAUUCUCUGCCAAGUAAGUAGUACCUCAAGCUAUCCAACGCCCACUUAAUGGCAAGUCCUUCCUUCUCCACAGUGGAGUACCUUGUCUCUCUCGGCUGCAGUUUCCGACUGAGGUACAGGACUGGUCGCUCUUCACCUGGGUCUCCCUGAGCCAGGACAGCACCAAGUCCGACUGCUGAGGCAUCCACUUGGACGAGGAACCUUUGAUCAAAGUCACGGGGUUUUUCUGCCUCUUCUCUGUAAGGGCAGUGAGAGGAGCUGCAAUGGUGGCGAACUGAUGGACAAACCGUCGGUACCAUCCAGCUAACCCCAGGAAGGAGCGUACCUCUUUCUUGGUGCGUGGUCGAGGGCAAUUGCGGAUAACUUCGACUUUAUCCACCUGCGGACGCACCUCACCACCUCCCAGCAGGUACCCCAGGUAACGAGUUUCCUUCCGGGCCCACUCACACUUGCUCACGUUUAAGGUCAGGCCUGCAUUUUGUAGUUUCCUCAGGACCAGACGCAGGUGAUCUAGGUGUUGCUCCCAGGUGUGACUGUAGAUCACCACGUCAUCCAAAUAGGCUGCACUACAGUGGUUACAUCCCUGCAGCACCCUGUCCAUCAGCCGUUGGAACGUGGCUGGUGCUCCAUGCAGACCAAAAGGCAUAACUGUAAACUGAAACAGUCCAGCAGGUGUUUUGAACGCCGUGUAUGGUCGACAGGUGUUGCUGAGAGGUACUUGCCAGUAACCCUUGCAUAGGUCAAGAGUGGUGAUGAAAUUAGCAGCCCCGAUCUUCUCCAGCAGGUCGUCAAUCCUCGGCAUUGGAUAUGCGUCGAACUCCGAAACGGCGUUCAGUUUCCUGAAGUCGAUGCAUAUCCGCAGUGAGUCGUCUUUUUUGGGAACGAUCACCACCGGACUGCUCCACUCUGAGUUGGACGGCUCAAUGACACCUAGCUCCAGCAUCUUCCUCACCUCAUCGUUCAGCCUUCCCACCAACUUCUGUGGUACCCGAUAAGGCCGUUGCCGGAUUGGUCGUCCAUCUUUGAGCCGUAUGGAAUGGCUAAUGAGUGUAGUUCUUCCUGGCUGUGCAGAAAAAAGAGAUGGCGUUUCACGAAAUAAGUCCAUUAUCUUUGUAGUCUGUUCCGGAGGUAAAUGUGACAGAGACGGAGGGGUUGAGUGAGUCAGUGCUCCCAGAUCAGAGUCCAAGUCUUCCUCAGUCUUCACAGCUCUGACUAGCAAAGACUUCUCUGUUGGAUGGUUAGCACCUUCCUUCCACUCUUUAAGUAGAUUCACGUGGUAUGUCUGCUUUUCUUUCUUUUUGUCAGGAUGGUGCACCUCAUAGGUGACAGGUCCCAUCCUGCGGAGAAUGGUGUAUGGCCCUUGCCACUUUGCCAGUAGUUUGCUGGUACAAGAGGGAAGAAGUAGCAGAACCUUCUGACCUGGACAAACUGGAUCACACCCCUUUCUGAGGUCUUUGUGGAUUUGGCCUCCCAGCUCUUCUUGAGGAGAUCCAGUGGGCCUUGGACAUCCCAGCCAUAGAGGAGUUCGAAUGCAUCCUCUUCAGGGUCUGGUUGAAACGUUCCACCAAGCCAUUGGUCUGUGGGUGGUACGGUGUCGCCUUGAUGGCAGUGAUGCCAAGCUGCUGUUGGAACAGUUUCAUCAACCGAGAGGAGCUGUAAUGGUGCGCAGGGGAAAAGCUUCUGGGAACCGUGUAGCAUAAUCACAGACCACCAGGAUGUAUUCGUGACCGCUACUGCUCUUAGUUUUCUGGCAGAUAGGUUUUGUGACGACCCAGGUGACCCGCCCAUGGGAGUGUGUGCGCUAAGUGCAUGACGAGUGGCCUGCAGGUGGUUGGAAGAACUAACCGUAGGUGUUCACCUUCAGCUGCAUACAGAACAUCAUCAGCAACAAUAAACCGCACAUUCCCCAAACAUUUGUCACUCUCUGUUGUCACCUUGGCAAACAAUGGUUUUAAAGUUUGGUCUUCUUUCUGCAAAGCCGAAAUGUCAGCUGGUAUGUCAAAUGUUUCUGCUGUUGUUGUGAUCUCAGGAUCCAGCAACUUAAGUUUUUUCUCAAACCGUCUUUGACGACGGGAUUUCCUGGGCAUUUCUUUGCCUCCAUCAAAGAAAUCGUCAUCCAAACGUGGAAGACUUUGCAUUCCCGCUUUAGCCUGAGCUCUAGUUAGCACAGGUGCUGAGACAGUAACAGCUAGCUCAUCAUUAGCUUUAGCUGUUUCAGCAGCCUCAUUUAAUAAGUCCCCCAACAUAGGUAAAUCACACCCCAAAAUUAAAUCAACAGGUAGGUUCUCUACCACCCCGACAGUCAAAAGAUAGGAUUGUUCAUUUAUGGUCACUGUUACAUCCGCUUUUGGGUACAAAUGUUGGUCGCCAUGAACACACACAACACUUGUUUGCCUGCUAUAAUCAAGUCCACCAAAAAGGAUUAAACUCUGUUUGACCAGAGAAAAAAAACUGCCCGUGUCCAACAUAGCAGUAACCUGCUGUCCGUUCACAGUCACCUGUUUAAGUGGCUGGAAAGUGUCUUUGUCCAUGUGCACAGGCCCUGCUCCUGUGACAGUCUCUGGCCUGGGUGCGUAGCAAGCACCUGUGAAUUUAGUCUUGCGGAUUGGACAUACGGAGGCUUUAUGACCAAUCUGCUGGCAAUAGAAACACACAAGGUCUCAGUGGAGCGGUUUGAAUGGGAAGACGCUGAUCCCCACCCGACGGCCGUGCAGACGCUCCUCGUCGAGCAUUGAGAUACUGCAGCGCAAGCCGGGCAGCGGUGAGGCCAUCCUCCGGGUCGUGCUCCUUCACCCACGUCCUCACGUCAGCUGGAAGCACACGCAGCAGCUGCUCCAGGAUGACGAUCUCCCCGAUCUGCUCCUUGCUGUGUUGCCCUGGGCGGAUCCAGCGACGGUAGAGGCCCUUCAGGCGGUGGUCCUUGUAGAUGUGGGCUUGCUGCUCGUCCAUUGCUGUGUAGGCCUCCAACGCCUUUCCGGACAGCAGUGGCACCAGGCGACAUGCCCACUCAGUCUCUGGCCAUCUCCACGUCCUGGCAAUCCGUUCAAAACGUAGCAGCUGGAGUCCUCCUGUGCCACUGGAUGCCGUUGACGGGACGUUGCAGCUGGUGUUGGCAGAUCCAACCUUGGGCUACUCACUGCGGCUGAGCUUGGUCCAGCGGCUUUGGGACUGAUGUUACGCCGCCGACCAGAAUGGUGCUCUGCCCUGGAAAAAGAGGCUUCCAAACCUUGGAGGGCAGCGAUGAAUCUGUCCUCCCGCUGCUGCUGUCCACGGAGGAAGUCUCUCAUCAUAGCCGCCAAGUCACCUUCUGGGCCUUUGGUCAGGCCUGGAGAACCACCAGAGGCACCAGGAUCUACCACCUCCUCCUCAGAGGAUGAAUUGGACAACAGAGGGACUGCAUCCGAUGUUGGUUCCAUCUCCUCCUUCUGGGAACGCAGACCUCUGUGUCUCACCUUUUUGCGGCCAGCCAUCUGCUUAUCCCACUUCUGACACCAACUGUCGUGGGUCCCACCAGGGAAUGAUUGGGCAGAGGCGCCAAGGUGAAAGUAUUCUUGACUUUAAUGCAAGAAUAGAGCACACCAAUUGCUCCACAAAGGUUAACCAACAU